rnacentral:rRNA from 1 species
AAUGAACGUUGGCGGCAUGGAUUAGGCAUGCAAGUCGAGCGAGAAGGGUUUUGAAGCUUGCUUUAGAACCCGGAAAGCGGCGCAAGGGAGAGUAACGAGUAGUUAUCUACCCCAAGGCCCGGAAUAGCUGCGGGAAACUGCAGGUAAUGCCGGAUAAUAUCCCCGGAUCAAAGGUGUGAUUCCGCCUUGGGAGGAGACUGCUUUGUACUAGCUAGUUGGUAGGGUAAUGGCCUACCAAGGCUACGAUGCAUAGCGGGCGUGAGAGCGUGGCCCGUCUCACUGGGACUGAAACACUGCCCAGACACCUACGGGUGGCUGCAGUCGAGAAUCUUCGGCAAUGGGCGAAAGCCUGACCGAGCGAUGCCGCGUGCGGGAUGAAGGCCCUCGGGUUGUAAACCGCUGUCGUAGAGGAGAAAGGUCUGAUGAAGAAUCAGAUUUGAUCUAUUCUAGGAGGAAGUCGGGGCUAAGUUCGUGCCAGCCGCCGCAGUAAUAC